GACGAACGCUGGCGGCGUGCUUAACGCAUGCAAGUCGAACGGAAAGGCCCUGCUUUUGUGGGGUGCUCGAGUGGCGAACGGGUGAGUAACACGUGAGUAACCUGCCCUUGACUUUGGGAUAACUUCAGGAAACUGGGCCUAAUACCGGAUAGGAGCUCCUGCUGCAUGGUGGGGGUUGGAAGGUUUCGGCGGUUGGGGAUGGACUCGCGGCUUAUCAGCUUGUUGGUGGGGUAGUGGCUUACCAAGGCUUUGACGGGUAGCCGGCCUGAGAGGGUGACCGGCCACAUUGGGACUGAGAUACGGCCCAGACUCCUACGGGAGGCAGCAGUGGGGAAUAUUGCACAAUGGGCGGAAGCCUGAUGCAGCAACGCCGCGUGCGGGAUGACGGCCCUCGGGUUGUAAACCGCUUUCGCCUGUGACGAAGCGUGAGUGACGGUAAUGGGUAAAGAAGCACCGGCUAACUACGUG
rnacentral:rRNA from 1 species